rnacentral:rRNA from 1 species
UCGAACGGUAACAGGUGUAGCAAUACAUGCUGACGAGUGGCGCACGGGUGCGUAACACGUAUGCAACCUACCUAUAACUGGGGAAUAGCCCUCCGAAAGGAGGAUUAACACCGCAUAAAAUCAUUUAACGGCAUCGCUGAAUGAUCAAACCUCCAGGGGUUAUAGAUGGGCAUGCGUAACAUUAGCUAGUUGGUGAGGUAACGGCUCACCAAGGCGACGAUGUUUAGGGGGUCUGAGAGGAUGAUCCCCCACACUGGUACUGAGACACGGACCAGACUCCUACGGGAGGCAGCAGUAAGGAAUAUUGGACAAUGGGGGCAACCCUGAUCCAGCCAUGCCGCGUGAAGGAUGAAGGCCCUCUGGGUUGUAAACUUCUUUUGUACGGGAAUAAACCCUUCUACGUGUAGAAGGUUGAAUGUACCGUAAGAAUAAGGAUCGGCUAACUUCGUGCCAGCAGCCGCGGUAAUACGAAGGAUCCAAGCGUUAUCCGGAUUUAUUGGGUUUAAAGGGUGCGUAGGCGGGCUAUUAAGUCAGUGGUGAAAGCCUGCAGCUUAACUGCAGAACUGCCAUUGAUACUGAUGGUCUUGAGUACACUUGAGGUAGGCGGAAUGUGUCAUGUAGCGGUGAAAUGCUUAGAUAUGACACAGAACACCGAUUGCGAAGGCAGCUUACUAAAUUGUAACUGACGCUGAGGCACGAAAGCGUGGGGAUCAAACAGGAUUAGAUACCCUGGUAGUCCACGCCCUAAACGAUGAUUACUCGAUGUGUGCAAUACACCGUACGCGUCUGAGCGAAAGC